GCUGGGUGUGGUGGUGCAUGCCUGUAGUCCCAGCUACUUGGGAGGCUGAAGCAGGAGAAUUGCUUGAACCUGGGAGACAGAGGUUGCAGUGAACUGGUAACACACCACUGCACUCCAGCCUGGGUAACAAGAGCGAGACUCCAUCUCAAACAAACAAAAAAAAAAAGAGAGACAGAGUCUCACUCUGUCACUCAGGCUGGAGUGCAGUGGUGUGUUACCAGUUCACUGCAACCUCUGUCUCCCAGGUUCAAGCAAUUCUCCUGCUUCAG
rnacentral:SRP_RNA from 1 species